rnacentral:rRNA from 1 species
UACGUAGGGGGCAAGCGUUGUCCGGAUUUAUUGGGCGUAAAGAGCGUGUAGGCGGCUAGAUAGGUCCGUUGUGAAAACUGGAGGCUCAACCUCCAGCUGUCGAUGGAAACCAUCUAGCUAGAGUCCGGAAGAGGAGAGUGGAAUUCCUGGUGUAGCGGCGAAAUGCGCAGAUAUCAGGAAGAACACCCGUGGCGAAGGCGGCUCUCUGGGACGUGACUGACGCUGAGACGCGAAAGCGUGGGGAGCGAACAGG